UCUCGCACUCCAUCUACAAUAUUGAACUGUAACGUAAAAUUAUCAGUUUUACGCGGGAAGCACAAGAGAUAUCAUCGAAAAGUUAAGCCAGAUAGAGAUUAAAAUCAGUAACCUUCAAAUAUUUAUUCGUAUUACCGAAUAACCUACGAUUUAUAACAAUGUGCUAGUGGACUGAAGAAAGAAAUGAAAAAUUUGAAAGACGCCAUGAAAUUCAAAAGGACGCCACGAUUUUUUCCAGUCUUCACUUUUACCAUGGGAGUUGACGUCGAUUUCUCUUAGGCCAUGACAACGUUCUUCGCA